GCCCGGAUGGUGGAAUCGGUAGAACACAAGGGAUUUAAAAAUCCCUCGGCGUUCGCGCUGUGCGGGUUCAAGUCCCGCUCCGGGUACCA
rnacentral:tRNA from 1 species